UACGUAGGGUGCAAGCGUUGUCCGGAAUUAUUGGGCGUAAAGAGCUCGUAGGCGGUCUGUUGCGUCGGCUGUGAAAACCCGGGGCUCAACUCCGGGCCUGCAGCCGAUACGGGCAGACUAGAGUUCGGCAGGGGAGACUGGAAUUCCUGGUGUAGCGGUGAAAUGCGCAGAUAUCAGGAGGAACACCGGUGGCGAAGGCGGGUCUCUGGGGCCGAUACUGACGCUGAGGAGCGAAAAGCGUGGGGGAGCGAACAGG
rnacentral:rRNA from 1 species